UGCGUUGAGUGAGGGGAGGGGGCACUAUACUAAAAUUGGAACGAUACAGAGAAGAUUAGCAUGGCCCCUGCGCAAGGAUAACACGCAAAUUCGUGAAGUGUUCCAUAUUAAA